GAAGAAUCCUAUUCCUAAUUCCUAUACAAUAAUUAUUGGCAGUUGUGCCAAACAAAUAGUAAAAUAUUUAUCAGUUUCGACGUUAUAUUAUAAUUACCAUAAACCACUUUUUUUUUUAGGGAAUUAUAUUUAAACCACUAAAACCCUAAAUAAAAAUCUCGCCGCCGCGCUCACGCAAGGUAAAUUGUCUUUUUAGUUGUUUUCAAAUAAAGUGCUACUCUCAAAGUACCAAUCAUUCCGGCGGAUGCGGAGCUACAGCCACCGCCGAAUUAAGUGAAAUUGCGUCACGUUAUUUCUCAAUUUGUACCAUUCAGUUCUCUCAAAUUUUCUGCAAUAGCUUCGGCUGCCGGCUGUUAUUUCCUCAAUGCUAGCUAUCGAGUCUUAACAACGCAUGAAGGAUCCCCAAAAUGGGGGGUAAUCAAAGGCAGCUGUAAUCCCCAAUUUUCAUCUUCCAAUGCUUAGCUAUGAAGCUUAAAACA